UAGGGCAUUAUUGAAAGAUAUUACAGGAUAUCUAUGCAAAUUAUGCAUGACUUAAAACUAUGAUUAUAUAUAUAUUUGGAUUUGUGUCUAAUAUUUUAUUUACAAUUUUUGUAUUGAUAUCUAAAAGUGAGAUUUGUUUUAGAUGUUGGCAUCAAUGUCUUGAGAUUCAUAAAAUUAAGUCCUCUUUUUUUCUAUAUUCUCUAACAAUUUAAAUGGAACUAGAAUCUAUUUCUUCAAAUUUCUCAGAAAAAUUCUUUUUAAACCAUGGAAUGCUAGCAAAUGUAAAGGCAAACUCAAACACCUGCAGGGGUUAGACAAAGAAUCAACAUGCACCUUAAAUUGAGAUUAAAGAAGUAUUUUCAGCAUAACAUAGGCCAACUUAAAGGUGUAUGGGCUUGAUGUAGCCUAUGGGCAGCCACUGUAGAACCCUAUACAAUAAGCCUUUUUUUAAAAAAAUUAUUUUACCUUAAGUUCUGUGAUACAUGUGCAGAACAAAGAAGAGUUUUAUGUAACACACAAAAUGGACAGAGGCUUAGUAUCCAAAAAUUAUGAAAACUAUUACAAAUCCAUAAGAAAAAAUAUAAAGUAUAAUAGAAAAUCAGGCAAAAGAGAUGAACAGGCACUAUCCAAAAUCAGAUAUCCAAUGGCUAAAUGUAAGAAAAAAAUUUAGUACUAUUAACAAGGUGAAUACAAACAAAAUAAAAAUGAACUGCCAUUAUACAAACUCCAGAUUUUUUUUUUUGUAAAACAACAAUAAACCUAACAUUAGCAAGAGUUGACAAAUACGUAAAGCAAGUUGAAUACAAAUAUACUGCUGAGUGGAGUGUAAAUAGGAACCACCACUUUGGAAAAAGCGUGUGCUUUUACUUUCUAGAGUUGAAGAAGCACGUGCACUAUAAUCCAAAGACUGCAUUUCAGUUAAAGUACCCUGGAGAACUCUCAUACCUAUGCAGAAAGACACAGAUUUGAGAAUUACUGAUCAAGUUUAUUACAGGAGUGAAAUUUGUCUGAUGCUUAUUCUCAUUGUUAAACUGAUGUCAUGGGCUUUUGAGAUUACCAAGCUUCCAUUUGAGCUUUUUCAGUUGAAUUCUAUACUACUUUGAUAAGCCCUCAUCACUUUUCUAAGGCUCACUACCUUCUGGAAUGAAAUGAUGCUCCAGGCUCAUCUUGUGUAUUCCUUGUCCCAAUCUCAGAAUCAGCUAUUUCUCCAAAGAGCCACGAUUGUUUUCAUUAGAGAAUAAUAUUAGAAACCAAGAUUUGGGAGCUAGAUGUGCUCCUUAUUACUGGGUGUCAUUUCUUUUAUGCCCACUUAUCUGCCAGAGCAAAAAUGUGAAUAUACUAAUAUACUAACCCUUGUAUACACACAGAGAGAUAUAUGUGUGUAUAAAUAUAUUUAUAUAGCCAUUUGUAUCUAUAAUAAAUAAAACA
rnacentral:lncRNA from 10 species